rnacentral:rRNA from 1 species
GUGCCAGCAGCCGCGGUAAGACGAACCGUGCGAACGUUAUUCGGAAUCACUGGGCUUAAAGCGCGUGUAGGCGGGUCGGUGCGUCGGCCGCUGAAAUCCCCCGGCUCAACCGGGGAAGGGGCGCCGAUACGACCGGCCUGGAGCGACGUAGGGGGAACUGGAACUUCCGGUGGAGCGGUGAAAUGCGUUGAGAUCGGAAGGAACGCCCGUGGCGAAAGCGAGUUCCUGGACGUCGGCUGACGCUGAGACGCGAAAGCCAGGGGAGCGAACGGGAUUAGAUACCCCCGUAGUCC